GUUGAAGUCUACUAUUUUUAUCUUGUGCAUUUCAGUUGACUCACGGCUGGUUCUUCUUUGGUUUCUGGUCUGACUGAUCCAGGUAGUGGUCCACCUUCCCCAUUCCCAGGUGUCCAGAGCCCCAGAGAAUGAUAUAGCGUAGGGACAUGAUGGCAGCUGCCCUGGUACCAACCAGCCCGAUUGCAGAGCCAAGGAGGUGGAGCCAAGAAAUGGAAGGAGCGGCUCUGUUACUAGGUUGGGCUCAGCAUAACUGGCAGUUGCGCCGAGGGACCCAGCAGCACCAGAGGACCCAGGGCUGCCUGGCAGAGGGAGGCCCGCGCGGAGCUGAUGAUAACUGGACCUCUUCCGUGGGCGCGUGUGAGGUACCUCCCGGAGACUCUGUGAGAAACUUGAGGUGGGGGUGCGGCGGGGAACGUGGAGGGACCUGAGGUCGUGCACGGGUAGAUGGGGCAAGAGCUUGCAAAAUAAGUCACUGUUAUGUAUGCCCUGUAAUAGCAGGUCAAACCACCCUGUGACUUCGCUCUCUUAGGCUGCUCAUAGCACCAUCCCGGCUUGUCUCUUGGCUUGCCUUCCCCGUAUCCCUCCUUCUAAACCCUGCCCUCCCUGGAAAAAACGCUCCCUGCUGCAGUCACGCCUGCCCUCUGUCUUCUCGGAUCUUUUGAAUACUCUUGUUCCUGAUGAUUUCCACGCUUUCUGUAAUUUGCUUGCAUGCAUCUCUCCCACUAUACUCUGAACAACCUGAGCUCAUAUUUUAUUUACUCU